UACAGAGGGUGCGAGCGUUGUCCGGAAUCACUGGGCGUAAAGGGCGCGUAGGCGGCUCAUGAAGGCUGUGGUGAAAGUCCGGGGCUCAACCUCGGAUCGGCCGUGGCGACUCGUGGGCUGGAGCACUGUAGAGGCGGGUGGAAUUCCGGGUGUAGCGGUGGAAUGCGUAGAGAUCCGGAAGAACACCAGUGGCGAAGGCGACUUACUGGACUGUAACUGACGCUGAGGCAUGAAAGCGUGGGGAGCAAACAGG
rnacentral:rRNA from 1 species